GGUAAUUUAUAAACAAGAGGUUUAAUUGACUCACAGUUCCACAUGGCUGGGGAGGCCUCAGGAAACUUACAUUCACGGCAGAAGGUGAAGGGGAAGCAAGGCGUGUCUUACAUAGUGGAAGGAGAGACAGAGAUAGAAUGCAGGGGAAACUGCCACUUUUAAAUCAUCAGAUCUCGUGAGGCCUCCCUCACUUUCAGGAGAACAGCUUUGGGGAAACCACUCCCAUGAUCCAGUCACCUCCCACCAGGUCCCUCCCUCAACACGUGGGGAUUAAAAUUCGAGAUGAGAUUUGGGUGGGGACACAGAGCUGAACCAUAUCAACAUUCAAGCUCUUUGACCCUGUAGUAAUUCCAAUACAAGAAGCCUAGCCCAAGGACACAAUUUCAUAAAGUUUAUCCACAAAAGAUGUUUGUUGUACUCAUUGUUUAAAAUAGGGGAAAACAGGAGACAGCCCAAGUGGCUAGUGUCUGGGAGCCAUCAUGUUUUUGCCUCAACAAUUGCAACACUUCAGUCUUUUUGGGGUAGUAGUGAGGAAGCCACUUCUGCCACUCUGUCUUCCCUAUAUUCUUUUUUAUUUUUUGAGAUGGAGUUUCACUCUUGUUGCCCAGGCUGGAGUGCAAUGGAGCAAUCUCGGCUCACUGCAACCUCCACCUCCCGGGUUCAAGCGAUUGUCCUGCCUCAGCCUCCUGAGUAGCUGGGAUUAUAGGCGCCCACCUCCACGCCCGGCUAAUUUUGUGUUUUUAGUAGAGACAG
rnacentral:lncRNA from 1 species